AUUGAACGCUGGCGGCAGGCCUAACACAUGCAAGUCGAGCGGAUGAAGGGGGCUUGCUCCUGGAUUCAGCGGCGGACAGGUGAGUAAUGCCUAGGAAUCUGCCUGGUAGUGGGGGAUAACGUCCGGAAACGGGCGCUAAUACCGCAUACGUCCUGAGGGAGAAAGUGGGGGAUCUUCGGACCUCACGCUAUCAGAUGAGCCUAGGUCGGAUUAGCUAGUUGGUGGGGUAAAGGCCUACCAAGGCGACGAUCCGUAACUGGUCUGAGAGGAUGAUCAGUCACACUGGAACUGAGACACGGUCCAGACUCCUACGGGAGGCAGCAGUGGGGAAUAUUGGACAAUGGGCGAAAGCCUGAUCCAGCCAUGCCGCGUGUGUGAAGAAGGUCUUCGGAUUGUAAAGCACUUUAAGUUGGGAGGAAGGGCAGUAAGUUAAUACCUUGCUGUUUUGACGUUACCAACAGAAUAAGCACCGGCUAACUUCGUG
rnacentral:rRNA from 1 species